UACGAAGGGGGCUAGCGUUGCUCGGAAUCACUGGGCGUAAAGCGCACGUAGGCGGAUCUUUAAGUCAGGGGUGAAAUCCUGGAGCUCAACUCCAGAACUGCCUUUGAUACUGGGGAUCUCGAGUCCGGGAGAGGUGAGUGGAACUCCGAGUGUAGAGGUGAAAUUCGUAGAUAUUAGGAAGAACACCAGUGGCGAAGGCGGCUCACUGGUCCGGUACUGACGCUGAGGUGCGAAAGCGUGGGGAGCAAACAGGAUUAAGAAACCCC
rnacentral:rRNA from 1 species